GACGAACGCUGGCGGCGUGCUUAACACAUGCAAGUCGAACGGAAAGGCCCUGCUUUUGUGGGGUGCUCGAGUGGCGAACGGGUGAGUAACGCGUGAGUAACCUGCCCUUGACUUUGGGAUAACUUCAGGAAACUGGGGCUAAUACCGGAUAGGAGCUCCUGCUGCAUGGUGGGGGUUGGAAAGUUUCGGCGGUUGGGGAUGGACUCGCGGCUUAUCAGCUUGUUGGUGGGGGAGUGGCUUACCAAGGCUUUGACGGGUAGCCGGCCUGAGAGGGUGACCGGCCACAUUGGGACUGAGAUACGGCCCAGACUGCUACGGGAGGCAGCAGUGGGGAAUAUGGCACAAUGGGCGGAAGCCUGAUGCAGCAACGCCGCGUGCGGGAUGACGGCCUUCGGGUUGUAAACCGCUUUCGCCUGUGACGAAGAGUGAGUGACGGUAAUGGGUAAAGAAGCACCGGCUAACUACGUG
rnacentral:rRNA from 1 species